rnacentral:rRNA from 1 species
UACGGAGGGAGCUAGCGUUAUUCGGAAUUACUGGGCGUAAAGCGCACGUAGGCGGCUUUGUAAGUUAGAGGUGAAAGCCUGGAGCUCAACUCCAGAAUUGCCUUUAAGACUGCAUCGCUUGAAUCCAGGAGAGGUGAGUGGAAUUCCGAGUGUAGAGGUGAAAUGCGUAGAUAUUCGGAAGAACACCAGUGGCGAAGGCGGCUCACUGGACUGGUACUGACGCUGAGGUGCGAAAGCGUGGGGAGCAAACAGG